rnacentral:tRNA from 1 species
AUGACUUAUAUUAUGUCUUUAUUUUUAUUUGGUUUAGUCUUAGGUUUGGUUGCGGUUGCUUCUAAUCCUUCUCCGUACUUUGCUGCUUUAGGGUUGGUAGUUGUAGCGGGCUUGGGGUGUGGUGUGCUUGUAUACCAUGGAGGGUCUUUCCUAUCAUUGGUCUUGUUUCUAAUUUACUUGGGGGGAAUGCUAGUUGUAUUUGCCUAUUCAGCGGCGCUUGCUGCUGAGCCUUACCCUGAGAGUCUGGGAAGUCGCCCUGUUGCAGGGUCUAUCUUAACUUACACUGUGGUGGUGUUUCUUAUCUCGGGUAUAUUUUGAGGGGGGUGGUACGAGUUUUCUUGGACACCGGUGGAGGAUUUUGGUGAGUUUUCUACAUUGCGGGGUGACAUAGGGGGAGUUGCUAUAAUGUAUUCGUCAGGAGGGGGGAUACUAUUAAUUAGUGCGUGGGUACUUCUUCUUAGCUUGCUUGUGGUGUUGGAGUUAACUCGGGGUUUAAGUCGAGGGGCCCUUCGGGCAGUUUAA